rnacentral:rRNA from 1 species
AACUGAAGAUGGCGACCGGCGCACGGGUGAGUAACACGUAUCCAACCUGCCGAUAACUCCGGAAUAGCCUUUCGAAAGAAAGAUUAAUACCGGAUAGUAUACGAAUAUCGCAUGAUAUUUUUAUUAAAGAAUUUCGGUUAUCGAUGGGGAUGCGUUCCAUUAGUUUGUUGGCGGGGUAACGGCCCACCAAGACUACGAUGGAUAGGGGUUCUGAGAGGAAGGUCCCCCACAUUGGAACUGAGACACGGUCCAA